rnacentral:rRNA from 1 species
UACAGAGGGUGCAAGCGUUGUUCGGAAUUAUUGGGCGUAAAGCGCGUGUAGGCGGCUUUGCAAGUCGGGUGUGAAAGCCCUCAGCUCAACUGAGGAAGUGCGCCCGAAACUGCAGAGCUUGAGUGCCGGAGAGGGUGGCGGAAUUCCAGGUGUAGCGGUGAAAUGCGUAGAUAUCUGGAGGAACACCGGUGGCGAAGGCGGCGAACUGGACGAUUACUGACACUCAAUUGCGAAAGCGUGGGGAGCAAACAGG